GACGAACGCUGGCGGCGUGCUUAACACAUGCAAGUCGAACGGAAAGACCCUGCUUUUGUGGGGUGCUCGAGUGGCGAACGGGUGAGUAACACGUGAGUAACCUGCCCUUGACUUUGGGAUAACUUCAGGAAACUGGGGCUAAUACCGGAUAGGAGCUCCUGCUGCAUGGUGGGGGUUGGAAAGUUUCGGCGGUUGGGGAUGGACUCGCGGCUUAUCAGCUUGUUGGUGGGGUAGUGGCUUACCAAGGCUUUGACGGGUAGCCGGCCUGAGAGGGUGACCGGCCACAUUGGGACUGAGAUACGGCCCAGACUCCUACGGGAGGCAGCAGUGGGGAAUAUUGCACAAUGGGCGGAAGCCUGAUGCAGCAACGCCGCGUGCGGGAUGACGGCCUUCGGGUUGUAAACCGCUUUCGCCUGUGACGAAGCAUGAGUGACGGUAAUGGGUAAAGAAGCACCGGCUAACUACGUG
rnacentral:rRNA from 1 species